rnacentral:rRNA from 1 species
ACUAAGCGUACACGGUGGAUGCCCUGGCAGUCAGAGGCGAUGAAGGACGUGCUAAUCUGCGAUAAGCGUCGGUAAGGUGAUAUGAACCGUUAUAACCGGCGAUUUCCGAAUGGGGAAACCCAGUGUGUUUCGACACACUAUCAUUAACUGAAUCCAUAGGUUAAUGAGGCGAACCGGGGGAACUGAAACAUCUAAGUACCCCGAGGAAAAGAAAUCAACCGAGAUUCCCCCAGUAGCGGCGAGCGAACGGGGAGCAGCCCAGAGCCUGAAUCAGUGUGUGUGUUAGUGGAAGCGUCUGGAAAGGCGCGCGAUACAGGGUGACAGCCCCGUACACAAAAAUGCACAUACUGUGAGCUCGAUGAGUAGGGCGGGACACGUGGUAUCCUGUCUGAAUAUGGGGGGACCAUCCUCCAAGGCUAAAUACUCCUGACUGACCGAUAGUGAACCAGUACCGUGAGGGAAAGGCGAAAAGAACCCCGGCGAGGGGAGUGAAAAAGAACCUGAAACCGUGUACGUACAAGCAGUGGGAGCACGCUUAGGCGUGUGACUGCGUACCUUUUGUAUAAUGGGUCAGCGACUUAUAUUCUGUAGCAAGGUUAACCGAAUAGGGGAGCCGAAGGGAAACCGAGUCUUAACUGGGCGUUAAGUUGCAGGGUAUAGACCCGAAACCCGGUGAUCUAGCCAUGGGCAGGUUGAAGGUUGGGUAACACUAACUGGAGGACCGAACCGACUAAUGUUGAAAAAUUAGCGGAUGACUUGUGGCUGGGGGUGAAAGGCCAAUCAAACCGGGAGAUAGCUGGUUCUCCCCGAAAGCUAUUUAGGUAGCGCCUCGUGAAUUCAUCUCCGGGGGUAGAGCACUGUUUCGGCAAGGGGGUCAUCCCGACUUACCAACCCGAUGCAAACUACGAAUACCGGAGAAUGUUAUCACGGGAGACACACGGCGGGUGCUAACGUCCGUCGUGAAGAGGGAAACAACCCAGACCGCCAGCUAAGGUCCCAAAGUCAUGGUUAAGUGGGAAACGAUGUGGGAAGGCCCAGACAGCCAGGAUGUUGGCUUAGAAGCAGCCAUCAUUUAAAGAAAGCGUAAUAGCUCACUGGUCGAGUCGGCCUGCGCGGAAGAUGUAACGGGGCUAAACCAUGCACCGAAGCUGCGGCAGCGACGCUGAUGCGUUGUUGGGUAGGGGAGCGUUCUGUAAGCCUGCGAAGGUGUGCUGUGAGGCAUGCUGGAGGUAUCAGAAGUGCGAAUGCUGACAUAAGUAACGAUAAAGCGGGUGAAAAGCCCGCUCGCCGGAAGACCAAGGGUUCCUGUCCAACGUUAAUCGGGGCAGGGUGAGUCGACCCCUAAGGCGAGGCCGAAAGGCGUAGUCGAUGGGAAACAGGUUAAUAUUCCUGUACUUGGUGUUACUGCGAAGGGGGGACGGAGAAGGCUAUGUUGGCCGGGCGACGGUUGUCCCGGUUUAAGCGUGUAGGCUGGUUUUCCAGGCAAAUCCGGAAAAUCAAGGCUGAGGCGUGAUGACGAGGCACUACGGUGCUGAAGCAACAAAUGCCCUGCUUCCAGGAAAAGCCUCUAAGCAUCAGGUAACAUCAAAUCGUACCCCAAACCGACACAGGUGGUCAGGUAGAGAAUACCAAGGCGCUUGAGAGAACUCGGGUGAAGGAACUAGGCAAAAUGGUGCCGUAACUUCGGGAGAAGGCACGCUGAUAUGUAGGUGAAGUCCCUCGCGGAUGGAGCUGAAAUCAGUCGAAGAUACCAGCUGGCUGCAACUGUUUAUUAAAAACACAGCACUGUGCAAACACGAAAGUGGACGUAUACGGUGUGACGCCUGCCCGGUGCCGGAAGGUUAAUUGAUGGGGUUAGCGCAAGCGAAGCUCUUGAUCGAAGCCCCGGUAAACGGCGGCCGUAACUAUAACGGUCCUAAGGUAGCGAAAUUCCUUGUCGGGUAAGUUCCGACCUGCACGAAUGGCGUAAUGAUGGCCAGGCUGUCUCCACCCGAGACUCAGUGAAAUUGAACUCGCUGUGAAGAUGCAGUGUACCCGCGGCAAGACGGAAAGACCCCGUGAACCUUUACUAUAGCUUGACACUGAACAUUGAGCCUUGAUGUGUAGGAUAGGUGGGAGGCUUUGAAGUGUGGACGCCAGUCUGCAUGGAGCCGACCUUGAAAUACCACCCUUUAAUGUUUGAUGUUCUAACGUGGACCCGUAAUCCGGGUUGCGGACAGUGUCUGGUGGGUAGUUUGACUGGGGCGGUCUCCUCCUAAAGAGUAACGGAGGAGCACGAAGGUUGGCUAAUCCUGGUCGGACAUCAGGAGGUUAGUGCAAUGGCAUAAGCCAGCUUGACUGCGAGCGUGACGGCGCGAGCAGGUGCGAAAGCAGGUCAUAGUGAUCCGGUGGUUCUGAAUGGAAGGGCCAUCGCUCAACGGAUAAAAGGUACUCCGGGGAUAACAGGCUGAUACCGCCCAAGAGUUCAUAUCGACGGCGGUGUUUGGCACCUCGAUGUCGGCUCAUCACAUCCUGGGGCUGAAGUAGGUCCCAAGGGUAUGGCUGUUCGCCAUUUAAAGUGGUACGCGAGCUGGGUUUAGAACGUCGUGAGACAGUUCGGUCCCUAUCUGCCGUGGGCGCUGGAGAAUUGAGGGGGGCUGCUCCUAGUACGAGAGGACCGGAGUGGACGCAUCACUGGUGUUCGGGUUGUCAUGCCAAUGGCACUGCCCGGUAGCUAAAUGCGGAAGAGAUAAGUGCUGAAAGCAUCUAAGCACGAAACUUGCCCCGAGAUGAGUUCUCCCUGACUCCUUGAGAGUCCUGAAGGAACGUUGAAGACGACGACGUUGAUAGGCCGGGUGUGUAAGCGCAGCGAUGCGUUGAGCUAACCGGUACUAAUGAACCGUGAGGCUUAACC